CGCCUUGCCAGCCCGCUCAGAAACUUAAGGAAUUGACGGGGGCCCGCACAAGCGGUGGAGCAUGUGGUUUAAUUCGAUGAUACGCGAGGAACCUUACCUGGGCUCAAAUGUAUGUUGACGUAUUCUGAAAGGGAUACUUCUUCGGACAAUAUACAAGGUGCUGCAUGGUUGUCGUCAGCUCGUGCCGUGAGGUGUCGGGUUAAGUCCCAUAACGAGCGCAACCCCUAUCAUUAGUUGCCAUCAGGUCAAGCUGGGGACUCUAAUGAAACUGCCUACGCAAGUAGUGAGGAAGGUGGGGAUGACGUCAAAUCAGCACGGCCCUUACGUCCAGGGCUACACACGUGCUACAAUGGCCGGUACAGAGGGCAGCCACUUGGUGACAAGGAGCAAAUCUCAAAAGCCGGUCUCAGUUCGGAUCGGAGUCUGCAACUCGACUCCGUGAAGUUGGAUUCGCUAGUAAUCGUAGAUCAGCAAUGCUACGGUGAAUACGUUCCCGGGCCUU
rnacentral:rRNA from 1 species